UGUGCCUGUGUAUGUGCACAUAAACAGUGUCUUUGAGGGCUUGGCAAUCUGUGUUGAUGUUAUUGAAGCUCUGCACCUGACUUCUGGUCACUUUUCUGUUACUGACCAGCUAAAUAACUUUGAGUAAGUCAUUGAACUUAUUUGGACACUAGUUCCAUCAACUGUUAGAUAUGAGGAUGGGAAUGGAUUGUCUCAAAGAUCCUUUUGAGUUCAAAAAGUCUAUGAUACCAGUGAGAAUGUUCCAAAGCCUUAAUGACACCUCACUGAAUGCAGCUUAAAAUGGCUGCAAGCUGACCAGACGAUUGCAUUCUCCAAGGUGAGCUGCCCUUCAUACCUCAUGCCCUUGAAUAAUGCAGCGUAAGUGUGUUUAUUGUGCCAGCUCUUCUUGUAGUUUUAUUCUAAUCCCUCGUCUCAGGCAACAUUUGUUUUGGCUGCAGUUCGAUACUUCCUCCUUCAGAGCUAUGCUUGGUUUUACCUCUAAUUCUGUGGCCCUCAGGGGCUGGUUGUACUGAUAAACUUUUACAAGUAAAAGGAGCUGUGGAGAUGACCUCCAGCUGGGGCUGAAGGCCUAUACAGCAGCACCUUCUUGCUGAAGCUAAGUGAUCCUCUUGGGGAGGAGGGUUGGGGGUCCAGGGCCCCUGAAGUCAGGAUUCCCCAGUGAGUUGGUCAAUGUGGACUUAGAUCUUGUUGAAAUAUCCAGAAGUAUUUCUAAGUAGAAUAUUUUUGAUCACAGAAACAAGGUAAAUAUUUUUGUCUUCCUUCAGUGGAGGACUUUGGAGCUCUCAGGUGGCUGCUCUCCAUCCCAGGCCUGGCUGUAGGAGGCUACCUGGGUGGGGUGCAGGCCCAUGCCUGGGGUCCUGGCUCCAGAGGCACCACAUGCCACUCAGUGAGGAUAAGAAUCCAUUCUGCAGCUUCUUUCAGCCCCACAUCAAUAAAUGGAGACAGUGGGAAGGGAGCUGUGCUACUUUGAAGGAUUUGGGGGCAGACUAAGAAGAAAACACAUGUGAAAGUGCUUUGUAAGGAUGAGUGCAUGGCGGGGCGACGAGGGGCGUUGGAGGCACAUGCAGCUGGGUAGGAGUUGCACUUUGGUCAUUGGCCAGUUAUGUGGCUUUGGGAACUGUUCAGACUUCUGGAUCUUGGCUUCCUUUUUUGUUAAGUAGGUGAUGAUAGGGAUCUCAUUGGGCUGCUGUGAGGAUGAGGUGUGUUUACAGUGCUUGGCAAAGAGUGGGGCUCCAUGCACAUAACUCCAUUUCCUCUACAUCUACAUUGCUCUGCAAACGAAGGGUGCUAUGACAAUAAACCCACCCCAAGGCCAAAGGAGGGGCGUGCUGGGGGUGGAGAGGGAUGGCUGGGAACUAACUAGCCGGCAUCAGCAAAGGAGGGAUUGUUUUGGUCUUUGUAGGAAAUUAGGAGGAUUGCCUUUCUCAUCUAUUACUUCCAAUGAGUUCUGAUGUUCUGGGGAAUCUUCUCUGAAUGAAUCCUGGUAUUGCUUCAUUUAUACUAUAACUCUGUAGUAUAACUAUAUCCUGUGUAAUCCAAGCCAAAGAUAGAGGGUUUGGGGACGACAGAUAUUUCAACAAUAGUCACUGAGGCAAGGAAUUGUGGAUUCUAGGAUGAGGCAGCAGGUGAAGGGCUUUGGUGCCCACACAGAGGAGAAGAGGGCAACUGGAGCGAGGAAAUGUCUUGCUGUCCUGCCGUUUAGCUCUGGAAGUGUCUCUUGGGACAAUCUUGGAGAAACGUCAACUGAAGUGCUAGUUUAGUAGCAGGGUAGCUGAGUCCUAGCAGUGUUUCGCAUUUCUCCAGUGAAAGCCCUAGAGGACUUGGAUGUCCCCAUCUCUAAAGACACCGGUGGCGGCAGAGGCCCAGCUUCUAAACACUCAGGGUCACACAGGCAUUGGUGCUUGGUAAACGUUUUCUUAUAUAAUUUCAAAGCCAUCUGUGACAUGGCUGUAUCAUCCCCAUUCUACUAGUGAGAAAACCAAUGCCAGGGGAUGGAAAAACAACUUCCUUAUGGUCACACUGCCAGUCAGUGCCUGGUGGGACCCAAGCUGGGCCCCAAUCCCCCAUGUCCCCCUUGGCACCUGUCCUGCUUUAGGGAAGAUGGUCUGUGGUCAAAGCUUAAUCUUUGCUUUGAUAAAGGAUUAAUUCAAAUUUUGGAAUGAAAAGAAGAGAUUUUGAAGCCCUAAAACUGUACUGUGUGACAAAACUCCUGUUCUUGGGAUAUGGUGGCAGAAGUAAGGGAAAGUGUCAGAAAAAGUCCCGCAAGGUGAGAAAAACUGAAAAAGAGACCCCUUUCCUAUAGAGGCUCACGAAGGGGAAAUUGCAACUGUGCGACCCUGUCUGCUAGCUUUCUCUGUCACUUCAUCCCCCAUUCCUGUUGCUGUGUGCACUUUUAUCCAACCCUCUUAAUGUCCAUGGCUGCGCUACCAGCAAAAUCUAACCCCAUCUGCUUGGCUAAGCUUCUUGCGCUCACCUAUACCUGAGGAGUACGACAUCAGGCUUCAGGGCUUAUUGAAGUCAUUACUCACAUCAUUGCACUAAUCACAAACAGAAGUGAAAGUUGUAAAUUGUAUAUAAUUACAUUUCAUAGAGAAAAAAGUAGAUUUAAAAAUGGCAAUUAAUAUUCUUAAUAGCCAAAAGUUAUUGCUAAUUAAUAAGAAAAACAUAAGCACUCCAAUUGAAAAAAAAUGAGCAAAGGUCAUAAAGACAUAAAACUCGCCUGUGGAAACAUACGUAGAGGAAACACAGAAUUAGUGAGUGUGUGUAUGGAAAUAAAUGGAAGGAUAAUGCUUGCUACCCAGUGUGGGCUUUGGGGGUAGAUCUACCUGGACUGAGUUCUGGAUUCACUAUUUACUAGCUCCAUGACCUUCAGCAAAGUAACCUCUCUAAGCCUUUGUUUUUAUCUGUAAAAUAGGGAUACUUAUUUUCCCUGCCUUGAGGGGUUAUUGUGAGGAUAAAAGAAAAUAAUUCUGUAAAGGGCUUAGUAAAGUGCCUGGUGCAGAGAAAUUUUUCAGUGCAGAUUAGCAAUUGUCACUGCUAGUAGUAUAUUUGCAUUGAUAACAAUUAGUAAUUUAACAUCUCACUGAAAUCAAAGAAAUGCAAUUAAAACAACAAAUACAUAUUAUUUGUUACUUAUCAGAUUGGAAAACAGGUGAAAAGAUUGACAGUAACCACUGUUGGUUAGAUGUGGAGAGAUGGGUUCUCUUGUGCAAUUCUGGGAUGGUAGGACCUGAUGCCCCAUUUCUGCAGGGCAAUUUGGCAAUAUACAUUAACGUUGAACAUUCUGAUAGUUUUUGACCCAGUCAUUCUUCUCUCAGAAACUUAUUCCUGGGAGAUAACUGAACAAAUGCACAAUAAUGAAUAUAUAAGAAUGUUUAUCCUGGCAUUUUUUUUUAUAGAAACAAAAAUUCAGAAGCAACUUAAACAUCCUUCAGUGAGAUUGACUAAUAAGUCCUGCUUCAUUUUUAUGACAGAAUGCUACUACUAAUAGCAGUGUUCUAGAUUUUCAUCCACCAUCAUGGAUAAAGCUCUCCGUCAUGUGGAUGGAAUCACUGCGGUAGGAGGAUUCCUGAGGCAUUACCUGGAUAGUCUCAUCUGGCUGGACAUGCAGGAGAACUGGGAGACUGCCGAGACUGCCACGUGGGGUGACUUGAGGGAUCUUUGACACUCUCUGUCUUAAUCUGUUUUGUGUUGCUAUAACAGAAUACACAGACUAAGUAAUUUAUAAAGAAAGGAAAUUUACUUCUCACAGUUUUGGAGGCUGAGAAGUCCAAGACUGAGGGGCUGGCAUCUGACGAGGGCCUUCUUGCUGCUUCAUUCCACGGCAAAAUGGCAAAGAGAAGAUGAGAAGAAAGGCUCAAAGGGACGGUGGGACUUGACUGAGGACCCAGCACCUCCUGGACCUGAAUCAAGGCCCUCUGUCCCGCUGCUUUUGUUGUUGUUUACCCUGCAACUUCACAGCCCUUCAGAAGGCCCUGGACAUCAUGUGCAAGCUCCGUGGAUGGCCUGAGAUUCAUCCUUCCAAGUUGUUUUCUGACUGAGAGGCAACAUUUUAAAUUGUGAUCCCCCCUUACCCCACCACACACACUGAAACAAAAGUUUCAAGAAGUCAUUACCACACAAUGACUCAGAUAUGUUCUAGUCUAGUCUGUCUAUUCCAUUCCAUUCCAGUCUCUUUCCAAACGAAAAUAAAAGGAAGGAAAUGCUGCAUGCGACUUGGUAAGUUAAUUUCAGGACACCUUGGGACUGCUUCCUGCUGCAUGAGGCAUCAGCACACAGCAGGGGAUAUUUUGCAUUCCUGUGUGCACCGUGGGUUAGACAGGCUGCUUGGCCCUAAGUGGAGAAUGGAACUCCAGUAGAAAGGCUGAGAUGCACUGCAAGUAACCACUGCAGAAAGGAGAGGAUGCCCACAGGCAGGCUGAAGUGGACCCGUGUGGAAGGAACACUUCAAGACCACUGGCCAAGAGACUUCCUUCAUUUUUAUCCCUUCCUGUUUUUCGCCUGUGCUGAGGAUUCACCACCAGUGUGGGGAGCCUCUGACUGUAAAAGGAAAGCUGACUCUGGCUCCUUCGUGUUUUCUGUUAAGUUGGGGCCUAAGUUUUUCUGCCAGCCUUUGCGGAGGAAAUGCAGCUUCCCUGGCACACUGCCCGGUCAAGGGACGUUGAAUCCAUUGCAAUCAGCAGUUGAAGAUCCACACUACAGGCCAUGUUCUUAAAAUAAGUGGCUCCAGGACUUCCAAGAGGCAGAAGGGGCUUCAGCUGGCCAUGGGCAGGAUCCAAGUGGAGCUUCAUCCCUGCAGAGCAAUGCCUGGCUCUCAGCGGAGGCAGUCUGGAGCAGGGCUUCUACCCUUUUCAGCUCAUAGAUUACUUUGGAAUCUGAUGAACACUGGGAGCCUUCUCCUUAGAAGAACAUACAUAUGCACGAGAAUGAGACAAUUACAUAACAUUCCUUGGGUUUCACAGAUGCUGAAGCCAAUGACUUGCUUGAAGCCUGGAAGAGGGUGUUGACCUGGAGAAUCCUAAAGGCCAAAAUUUAGAGAAAAUGGUGCCAGUAAAUGAAUUCACAAGGAGAAAUGCUUCCUUGCCAACUCACUUCUCCAGAUUAUUGAGUGCAUCUAUCUGUUUGCUUUUGGCUUCACGCAAUUGGCCCUCUUCAGUUCCGUACUCUUUCCUAAAUACCUUGCAAGUUUUCCUCUUCUCUCAUGCCAUUUAUAAUAUGCUGACGCCUGAUUAGAGGAAGGAAGGACUCAGCUGCACUUGCACUGGGGGAAGGGCCACUUACAGGAAGCCUACCUGGGGCUGAGCUGGGUCUCACUGCCUCCUAGACCUAAGGGCCCCAGCUUUUCCCUCAUCUCUUGUUGCAGCCACCACUUGUUCUAGAUCUGCAUCCAUAUCUGUAAAAUGGGGGUGAUAAUACCUUCCCAUAAAGUCACUGUGAGGAUUAAAUGUCCGGCACAAUAUUUGA
rnacentral:lncRNA from 1 species